GACGAACGCUGGCGGCGUGCUUAAUACAUGCAAGUCGAGCGAGGUUACUGUUUUGGAUCCCUUCGGGGUGAAGAAGCUUUAACCUAGCGGCGGACGGGUGAGUAACGCGUGGGUAACCUACCCCAAAGUCCGGGAUAACAGCGGGAAACCGCUGCUAAUACCGGAUGCCUUUACCUUGGGGCAUCUUGAGGUAAAGAAAGGCAACGCUUUGGGAUGGGCCCGCGUCCCAUUAGCUAGUUGGUGAGGUAACGGCUCACCAAGGCGACGAUGGGUAGCCGGCCUGAGAGGGUGGACGGCCACACUGGGACUGAGACACGGCCCAGACUCCUACGGGAGGCAGCAGUAGGGAAUAUUGCGCAAUGGACGGAAGUCUGACGCAGCGACGCCGCGUGAGCGAUGAAGGUCUUCGGAUCGUAAGCUCUGUCCUUGGGGAAGAAGGCGAAAGCUUGACGGUACCCAAGAAGAAAGCCUCCGGCUAACUACGUGCCAGCAGCCGCGGUAAUACGUAGGGGGCGAGCGUUGUCCGGAAUUACUGGGCGUAAAGGGUGCGUAGGCGGCCCUUUAAGUCGGAUGUGAAAGCCCGCGGCUUAACCGCGGAAUGGCAUUCGAAGCUGGAGGGCUUGAGUGUCGGAGAGGGUAGUGGAGUUCCCAGUGUAGCGGUGAAAUGCGUAGAUAUUGGGAGGAACACCAGUGGCGAAGGCGACUACCUGGACGAUAACUGACGCUGAGGCACGAAAGCUAGGGGAGCAAACAGGAUUAGAUACCCUGGUAGUCCUAGCCGUAAACGAUGGGUACUAGGUGUGGGUGGUUUCGAUACCAUCCGUGCCGUAGUUAACGCAUUAAGUACCCCGCCUGGGGAGUACGUGCGCAAGCAUGAAACUCAAAGGAAUUGACGGGGACCCGCACAGCGGUGGAGCAUGUGGUUUAAUNNAAGCAACGCGAAAAACUUACCUGCUCUUGACAUCCCACUGACAGGUCAGUAAUGUGACCCUUUCUCGNANCAGUGGAAACAGGUGGUG
rnacentral:rRNA from 1 species